rnacentral:lncRNA from 1 species
GCCAAUUUCACUUAAAAUUUUCAACUCCGUGAAUAACAAUACAUGCAGUACUCUACGAAAGAAGCGGAACUCAUGGACUAGGAUCGCGGUCGGUCGUGAUGGUGUGUAGCAUCAUGUUAUGCCGAUCGGACGGCGCAGAGGGCAAAAUCCCCCCCCUCCGGUGAAAGAAGCUGAAACCUAAACCCCCUUUGAGCUUCUCCAUAUUGCCAUGGUGCACUACAAAACCAUCUCCUUUUGUAUUCUCCACAUUGUGCAUGUGACCAUUACUACUACCUAUUGUUGCAUGAAAAAAUUGGAGCAAAAACAAGAUCAAGAGGAGGAAACAAGAAGAAACAGUUCUCAUUUUAGAUAUAUAGAAGAGAAUGGACUGAAG